CUGCCCCGACGACCAGUGGCCAAGCAAAUUAGCCGAUUAUAUUCGUUUCAACGACGAAGCACUUUUAAAAGAUUCCGAACGCUUACUUAGCACAUACACUGAUGAAUUGUUGCCUUGCACUUCUUUUCCAGAGUUCUGUGAUGUUGCAGGUUUACUUGGUGAUAUUCCCGACCCAGAUUCAUACUUAGAAAAUCUCUUUAAGGACUUUUAAUUUUCCACUACCACAAAGCUUUAGAAUUUAGCAUAUGGAUCGGAAAGAUAUAAUAUUUGGAAUAUAUUAUUACGUUGCUGUUCCUUUGGAAUGUUAGUCACAUAUAAAUUAUUGUACUUUAAAAUGUAAUAAAGUUGUUUAAACCAUUAA